rfam:Candidatus Gottesmanbacteria bacterium RIFCSPLOWO2_01_FTLL_39_12b rifcsplowo2_01_scaffold_11997, whole genome shotgun sequence.
GUCCCCGUAGCUCAACGGAUAGAGUAGGCGCGUCCUAAGCGUCUGAUGGCAGUUCGAUUCUGCCCGGGGACG